GGAGGAGAGGAUAGAGAAGAGAAGGAAAAGAGGUAAAAAGUAGAGAAGGUGAGAGCUGGUGCGUAGGGUCGCCGGAGCAGGUGGAGCCGCCAUCCUCGACGCUGAUGAGGGCUUCGCCUUCGGUAUGUGCUGAUCUUUUUAGCCCCUAGACUCAAUUAGUGUUUCUUCACAAAGACGCGCUUUCGUUGCGCUUCUCGGAUCGGAGGAGACGGCCUCUGUUAAGGCCUUCGCCUCCGCCAUAGAAGGCGACAAGUGUCCGCGAGAGCAUUUUAAGGACAAUGGAUGUUGCUCGUCCACAAGUUCUGGAGCUGGUAUUACUUUUUUAUUUAUUGCCAUACUGUGAAGGCUAGCAAUUGAAAGACGCUGCUUCAUUGAGUUAAGGAUUGCCCGAUGGAUAACACUUUUGUAUCGGCCAUUGCUUAGCACCUCCAAUUGAUCUCCCAGCUGAACUACCAGGGCCUCCUUGAUCAACGACACAGAUUGCCAUUCUCCAUUGCUGUCCUUGAUUUCUAGGCCCUGUUGAUUUUGGAGUAUGAUAGUCAAUGAUCCAUAGUCUGAGUGUGGGGGCAGGCCCAGUGCUAGAUUUGGUUCUGGGCAAGCAGGAUAACAAUUUACGGCCAUGACUUGUGAGCCUUCCUCAGUGUCUUUCUUUCCUUGCAGGCCUCACGCACCUGCUCUAUCACCUGGGGUCGAAGAGAAGGGUUAUCUAACAAGGAAAGAUCUAUAACUGGCAAUGCUGUCGUGGGGCAAUGAGGUCUCUGGUUAAUGGCAGGGCGUUGUGGCUGGGGAAGUAUGUAACGUUUGGGAACACCACUCAGGCCCAUUUCUGAAAGCGCCAUUGCACUUGUGAAUGAACCUGAUGAGGAUUGGGACAGAAGAAGGAAGUCAGCCUCCCCCCACUUGCAGGUUUAUUACACAUGAAAAAGUGAGAAAUCUCAGGCAAAUAUGGGACCCGGUUAUGAAACUUGAAUGAAAACAGGUUGAUUGUGCAGGUUGAAUGGCCUUGCGUCAAAGUAUAGUAUAUAAUAUCAUUACAGUAUGGAGUCCCAAGCCUGAUAUUGUGGGAAAAUAUGUCAUAAUUUGGAAAUAUUUUACCCAAAUUCACAAAAUUUUAGGGGCCUAUGUUGUAUUUAUCCCCAAAGGCUGAUUUCCUAUUUGAGGUUCAGCUCCAGACCGACAGUCAAAGGAUGUUUCAUUGCACUUGAUUUAUCACACGUAAGAAGUUGAGUUUCA